AAAGGAAUAGACGGGGACCCGCACAAGCAGCGGAGCAUGUGGUUUAAUUCGAUGCAACGCGAAGAACCUUACCAGGGCUUGACAUCCCUCGGACCGGACUAGAGAUAGUCCUUUCCCUUCGGGGACUGAGGUGACAGGUGGUGCAUGGUUGUCGUCAGCUCGUGUCGUGAGAUGUUGGGUUAAGUCCCGCAACGAGCGCAACCCCUGCCUUUAGUUGCAAACAGUUUGGCUGUGCACUCUAGAGGGACUGCCGAUGAGAAAUCGGAGGAAGGUGGGGAUGACGUCAAAUCAUCAUGCCCUUUAUGUCCUGGGCUACACACGUGCUACAAUGGUCGGUACAACGGGUUGCCACCUCGCGAGAGGGCGCUAAUCCCACAAAGCCGAUCCCAGUUCGGAUUGUAGGCUGCAAUUCGCCUACAUGAAGCUGGAGUUGCUAGUAAUCGCGAAUCAGAAUGUCGCGGUGAAUACGUUCCCGGGUCUUGUACACACCGCCCGU
rnacentral:rRNA from 1 species